UCUCAAUAUUUUUUCCACCACUGUAUAUCGUGAUCAACUAGAUUUAUGCUCAUUUUCUUCUAGUUCUAAAUCCAGGCAUGUAGCGCCAAAUGUUAAGCUGCCACUAACGGACUAGACAUGCGCUCUUAGUUGGCUGAAACAGCUACUACUGCUGCCGCUGAGGCUUAUAUAGACGACGCAUGCAGAUGAAUUAACUAGAUCGAACCGGCUCAGAGAGUAAAGCAUAUAAAUGACGACGGUAGUCGGAAAUCAUUGAAUUCCAGGCAAUUUUGGUAAACUUAAAGACUGGCCGAAGGAGAUGAAUUCCAUAUAUCCCUAAUGCCAACUUCCACCUUCAACGACGGAAAUCCUCCGAUUGGAAAGCCCAAGAUUUUUGUGUUCAUAAGAUCGGCAUAUGUACGAGCUCUGUUUCAGUAAUUCUUUAAUUAUAAUCGAAUCAAUCAUUGACCUGAAGGCUCAUGAUAGCAAGACUACUUUAAACAGUCGAUUUGACUCUGCCGUUUAGUUGAUUCGGCGACAUAGUUUGUUGUGGUGAAAGUAGUUAUUAAAUAAAGUCUCAUUUUUGUGUUUUAAAUGUGUAUGUAAUUUAGCACAGUUUUUGUUUUUAACAUUCAAUGCCAAUAUUUAAAGAUUAUAGCCGUAAAAUAUAUGUUAUUGAGUAAUUAGAAAAAAUAAAAAUAUGUAAAUGUAAUUUUUUCCACGAAAAACACUUCUUUUUAGUUU